GCAACUCGCCUGCAUGAAGUCGGAAUUGCUAGUAAUCGCAGAUCAGCAUGCUGUGGUGAAUACGUUCCCGGGCCUUGUACACACCGCCGUCACACCAUGGGAGUCGGUAACACCCAAAGUUGGUAGUCUAACCGCAAGGAGGACGCCGCCUAAGGUGGGAUUGAUGACUGGGGUGAAGUCGUAACAAGGUACC
rnacentral:rRNA from 1 species